rnacentral:rRNA from 1 species
UUUAAGCUUCUACGGGAGGCUGCAGUGGGGAAUUUUCCGCAAUGGGCGAAAGCCUGACGGAGCAAUGCCGCGUGGGGGAAUAAGGCCCACGGGUCGUAAACCCCUUUUCUCAGAGAGGAAGUCAUGACAGUAUCUGGGGAAUAAGCAUCGGCUAACUCUGUGCCAGCAGCCGCGGUAAGACAGAGGAUGCAAGCGUUAUCCGGAAUGAUUGGGCGUAAAGCGUCUGUAGGUGGCUUCUUAAGUCUGCUGUCAAAUCCCAGGGCUUAACCCUGGCCAGGCGGUGGAGACUACUAAGCUGGAGUACGGUAGGGGCAGAGGGAAUUUCCGGUGGAGCGGUGAAAUGCGUAGAGAUCGGAAAGAACACCAAGGGCGAAGGCACUCUGCUGGGCCGACACUGACACUGAGAGACGAGAGCUAGGGGAGCGAAUGGGAUUAGAUACCCUUGUAGUCGAAUUCU